rnacentral:rRNA from 1 species
GACGUAGGGCGCGAGCGUUGUCCGGAUUUAUUGGGCGUAAAGAGCUCGUAGGCGGCUUGUCGCGUCGUCCGUGAAAACCCACAGCUCAACUGUGGGCUUGCGGUCGAUACGGGCAGGCUAGAGUUCGGUAGGGGAGACUGGAAUUCCUGGUGUAGCGGUGAAAUGCGCAGAUAUCGGGAAGAACACCCGUGGCGAAGGCGGCUCUCUGGGACGGUACUGACGCUGAGACGCGAAAGCGUGGGGAGCGAACAGG